rnacentral:rRNA from 1 species
AUUGAACGCUGGCGGCAGGCCUAACACAUGCAAGUCGAGCGGUAGAGAGAAGCUUGCUUCUCUUGAGAGCGGCGGACGGGUGAGUAAUGCCUAGGAAUCUGCCUGGUAGUGGGGGAUAACGUUCGGAAACGGACGCUAAUACCGCAUACGUCCUACGGGAGAAAGCAGGGGACCUUCGGGCCUUGCGCUAUCAGAUGAGCCUAGGUCGGAUUAGCUAGUUGGUGAGGUAAUGGCUCACCAAGGCGACGAUCCGUAACUGGUCUGAGGGGAUGAUCAGUCACACUGGAACUGAGACACGGUCCAGACUCCUACGGGAGGCAGCAGUGGGGAAUAUUGGACAAUGGGCGAAAGCCUGAUCCAGCCAUGCCGCGUGUGUGAAGAAGGUCUUCGGAUUGUAAAGCACUUUAAGUUGGGAGGAAGGGCAGUAAAUUAAUACUUUGCUGUUUUGACGUACCGACAG